rnacentral:rRNA from 1 species
AAAUUGAAGAGUUUGAUCAUGGCUCAGAUUGAACGCUGGCGGCAGGCCUAACACAUGCAAGUCGAACGGUAACAGGAAGCAGCUUGCUGCUUCGCUGACGAGUGGCGGACGGGUGAGUAAUGUCUGGGAAACUGCCUGAUGGAGGGGAAUAACUACUGGAAACGGUGGCUAAUACCGCAUAACGUCGCAAGACCAAAGAGGGGGACCUUCGGGCCUCUUGCCAUCAGAUGUGCCCAGAUGGGAUUAGCUUGUUGGUGAGGUAACGGCUCACCAAGGCGACGAUCCCUAGCUGGUCUGAGAGGAUGACCAGCCACACUGGAACUGAGACACGGUCCAGACUCCUACGGGAGGCAGCAGUGGGGAAUAUUGCACAAUGGGCGCAAGCCUGAUGCAGCCAUGCCGCGUGUAUGAAGAAGGCCUUCGGGUUGUAAAGUACUUUCAGCGGGGAGGAAGGUG